rnacentral:rRNA from 1 species
UACGAAGGGGGCUAGCGUUGUUCGGAAUUACUGGGCGUAAAGCGCACGUAGGCGGGUUGUUAAGUCAGGGGUGAAAUCCCGGAGCUCAACUCCGGAACUGCCUUUGAUACUGGCAACCUAGAGGCUGGAAGAGGUUAGUGGAAUUCCCAGUGUAGAGGUGAAAUUCGUAGAUAUUCGCAAGAACACCAGUGGCGAAGGCGGCUGACUGGUCCGGUACUGACGCUGAGGUGCGAAAGCGUGGGGAGCAAACAGG